GACGAACGCUGGCGGCGUGCUUAACACAUGCAAGUCGAACGAAGUGGCGAACGGGUGAGUAACGCGUAAUCAACCUGCCCUUCAGAGGGGGACAACAGUGGGAAACGACUGCUAAUACCGAAUACUGAAGGAGGGGAUUGCGUCUGUUUAGCUAGUUGGAGGGGUAACGGCCAACCAAGGCGAGGAGCAGUAGCCGGUUUUAGAGGAUGAACGGACACAUUGGGACUGAGACACGGCCCAGACUCCUACGGGAGGCAGCAGGGGGGAAUCUUCCGCAAUGGAAGAAAGUCUGACGGAGCAACGCCGCGUGAGUGAUGACGGCCUUCGGGUUGUAAAGCUCUGUUAAUCGGGACGCGGUACCGGAAUAGAAAGCCACGGCUAACUACGUGCCAGCAGCCGCGGUAAUAC
rnacentral:rRNA from 1 species